AGUAGUUUGAUCAUGGCUCAGGAUAAACGCUGGCGGCGCACAUAAGACAUGCAAGUCGAACGGAAGUCGUUGUAAUGAUGUUGACAUGAACAGAGAACUUGUUCAAAGGGAGUGAAGAUUGACUUACAACAAUGGCUUUAGUGGCGGACUGGUGAGUAACACGUAAGCAACCUGCCUAUUAGAGGGGAAUAACAGCGAGAAAUCGUUGCUAAUACCGCAUAUGCCAUAAGAACCACAUGGUUCCAGUGGGAAAGGAGUAAUCCGCUAAUAGAUGGGCUUGCGUCUGAUUAGCUAGUUGGUGGGGUAACGGCCUACCAAGGCGACGAUCAGUAGCCGGACUGAGAGGUUCAACGGCCACAUUGGGACUGAGAUACGGCCCAGACUCC
rnacentral:rRNA from 1 species